GAUGAACGCUGGCGGCGUGCCUAAUACAUGCAAGUCGAGCGAACGGACGAGAAGCUUGCUUUUCUGAUGUUAGCGGCGGACGGGUGAGUAACACGUGGAUAACCUACCUAUAAGACUGGGAUAACUUCGGGAAACCGGAGCUAAUACCGGAUAAUAUUUUGAACCGCAUGGUUCAAAAGUGAAAGACGGUCUUGCUGUCACUUAUAGAUGGAUCCGCGCUGCAUUAGCUAGUUGGUAAGGUAACGGCUUACCAAGGCAACGAUGCAUAGCCGACCUGAGAGGGUGAUCGGCCACACUGGAACUGAGACACGGUCCAGACUCCUACGGGAGGCAGCAGUAGGGAAUCUUCCGCAAUGGGCGAAAGCCUUACGGAGCAACGCCGCGUGAGUGAUGAAGGUCUUCGGAUCGUAAAACUCUGUUAUUAGGGAAGAACAUAUGUGUAAGUAACUGUGCACAUCUUGACGGUACCUAAUCAGAAAGCCACGGCUAACUACGUG
rnacentral:rRNA from 1 species